rnacentral:rRNA from 1 species
AGAGUUUGAUCCUGGCUCAGGAUGAACGCUGGCGGCGUGCCUAAUACAUACAAGUCGAGCGAACAGAUAAGGAGCUUGCUCCUUUGACGUUAGCGGCGGACGGGUGAGUAACACGUGGGUAACCUACCUAUAAGACUGGAAUAACUCCGGGAAACCGGGGCUAAUGCCGGAUAACAUGUUGAACCGCAUGGUUCUACAGUGAAAGACGGUCUUGCUGUCACUUAUAGACGGACCCGCGCCGUAUUAGCUAGUUGGUGGGGUAACGGCCUACCAAGGCGACGAUACGUAGCCGACCUGAGAGGGUGAUCGGCCACACUGGAACUGAGACACGGUCCAGACUCCUACGGGAGGCAGCAGUAGGGAAUCUUCCGCAAUGGGCGAAAGCCUGACGGAGCAACGCCGCGUGAGUGAUGAAGGUCUUCGGAUCGUAAAGCUCUGUUGUUAGGGAAGAACAAAUGUGUAAGUAACUGUGCACAUCUUGACGGUACCUAACCAGAAAGCCACGGCUAACUACGUGCCAGCAGCCGCGGUAAUACGUAGGUGGCAAGCGUUAUCCGGAAUUAUUGGGCGUAAAGCGCGCGUAGGCGGUUUUUUAAGUCUGAUGUGAAAGCCCACGGCUCAACCGUGGAGGGUCAUUGGAAACUGGAAAACUUGAGUGCAGAAGAGGAAAGUGGAAUUCCAUGUGUAGCGGUGAAAUGCGCAGAGAUAUGGAGGAACACCAGUGGCGAAGGCGGCUUUCUGGUCUGCAACUGACGCUGAUGUGCGAAAGCGUGGGGAUCAAACAGGAUUAGAUACCCUAGUAGUCC